rnacentral:misc_RNA from 1 species
CAACAGAUUCCAUGAUGUCCUGCACCUUAAUUCCCUCGCAAUAAAGAAACCCAUCUGAGGAUUUGGAGAAACAAUGGUGAAAUUGGGUCUGGGUUUUAGAGGGGUUUUGAGAAAGAACAGCUUUUAGGGAGAGGGGAGUUUUGGAGAAGGGUUUGUGAAGUCGAAAAGAAAUACGGGUAAAAGGGUUUGAAUUAAGAGAGUGUCUGAGGGUGCUGGGAAGGGAAGGUGAAGGAGAG